UUUCCCGAAAACCCCCUAGCCCCUCCCAUCCCCGUGCGCCUGGAAUCCAUCGCGGCUCCUCGACUGCCGCCGACAGUCCAUCGCCUCCAUCGCGAGUCCCGCCGCCUGUGGCCCUCCGCUUCCCCGGUGAGGGUGCCGCCGCCCGAGGUGCUCCCCGCCGCCCAUGGCCCUCCACUUCCCCGGUGAGGGCGCCGCCGCCUGAGGUGCUCCCCGCCGCCCCGCCGCCCAUGGCCCUCCGCUUCCUCGGUGAGGGCGCCGCUGCCCGCCGUGCUCCCCGCCGCCCGUGGCCGUCCGCUUCCCCGAUGAGGGCGCCGACGCCCGAGCUCCCGUGUGAUCGACCUGAUCCGCCACAUGCACAACACCAACUAGAUGAGCGAGCUGAGGCUUGGUGAUACAGGGGAGUUGGUGUUUCUCCCCAGAAGAAGAGUGUAGAGAGCCCUCUACCGAGAAUAAAUUUUUUGUAUGGAAUUAUGUCUGAAACUAUAUUGGGUGUAUCCUAGUGGUUGGUUGAGCUGUAAUGGCUCAUGUUUUUGUCUGAAACAGGUCCAGUCAUUUGCUUGUAUUAGGUUACCAAUUCAUGGCUGCUAAAGUGCCUUAACUAUUGCCAGCCUGCGAAAUGUGAACUGGAGCAGUACCUGGAGGACCCUCAGCUUGCCAAACCAGAGUAGUGCUGAUUUUUUUUCUGACACGGCACAGUUACUACUUACUUGCAUGAACAAGACACCAGAACUCAGACUUUGACACCACAUAGUACUCCAGAGCCAGGAACUUGGCAAAACAUACUCGAGGUCCUCUUACCAUUUUAUUCCACAGGACAAAGUGCACACAUGACAGCAUAAAUUGAAACAUGGAAUUAACCAAGGAAGAGAAUCCAUCAGAAGACAAGUAAGCUGAAAGCCUCAAUGUUUGCUCCCAGAUAAAGGAAAAAACAUCAAUUAUCAUGACCUUAGUUCAUCUUAUUAAUUUAAGACUUGGUUUCAUGGUGCAAACAAGACAUUGGAGAGUUUGGAGUACUUAUUAAUAGCUGUGUUCUCUUUUAUCAA